rnacentral:rRNA from 1 species
UACGUAGGGGGCGAGCGUUGUCCGGAUUUAUUGGGCGUAAAGAGCUCGUAGGCGGUUCGAUAAGUCGGACGUGAAAUCUCCACGCUCAACGUGGAGGGGCCGUUCGAUACUGUCGUGACUCGAGUCCGGUAGGGGAGUGUGGAAUUCCCGGUGUAGCGGUGAAAUGCGCAGAGAUGUGGAGGAACACCGAUGGCGAAGGCAGCCUCCUGGGCCAGCACUGACGCUCAUGCACGAAAGCGUGGGGAGCAAACAGG